GACGACUCCUGUUCUGUCUAUGGCACUGGUAGAAUUCACUGUGAAAGCGCACCAUCAGUGAAUUACCAUAGGGCCAUAAACAGAGCAGAGACAGAUCCACAU
rnacentral:pre_miRNA from 14 species